rnacentral:rRNA from 1 species
AUUGAACGCUGGCGGCAUGCUUUACACAUGCAAGUCGAACGGUAACAGGCCGCAAGGUGUUGACGAGUGGCGAACGGGUGAGUAAUGCAUCGGAACGUGCCCAGUCGUGGGGGAUAACGCAGCGAAAGCUGCGCUAAUACCGCAUACGAUCUAUGGAUGAAAGCGGGGGACCGGAAGGCCUCGCGCGGUUGGAGCGGCCGAUGUCAGAUUAGGUAGUUGGUGGGGUAAAGGCCUACCAAGCCAACGAUCUGUAGCUGGUCUGAGAGGACGACCAGCCACACUGGGACUGAGACACGGCCCAGACUCCUACGGGAGGCAGCAGUGGGGAAUUUUGGACAAUGGGCGCAAGCCUGACCCAGCAAUGCCGCGUGCAGGAAGAAGGCCUUCGGGUUGUAAACUGCUUUUGUACGGAACGAAAAGGCUCUGGUUAAUACCUGGGGCUCGUGACGGUACCGUAAGAAUAAGCACCGGCUAACUACGUGCCAGCAGCCGCAGUAAUAC